UACGUAGGUGGCUAGCGUUAUCCGGAUUUACUGGGCGUAAAGAGUGCGUAGGCGGCUCUUCAAGUCGGAUGUGAAAUCUCCUGGCUUAACUGGGAGGGGUCAUUCGAUACUGUUGGGCUGGAGGGCAGCAGAGGAAGGUGGAAUUCCCGGUGUAGUGGUGAAAUGCGUAGAUAUCGGGAGGAACACCAGUGGCGAAGGCGGCCUUCUGGGCUGUACCUGACGCUGAGGCACGAAAGCGCGGGGAG
rnacentral:rRNA from 1 species